ensembl:miRNA Mir7001 microRNA 7001
GGAGGAGGCAGGGUGUGAGCGUGAGCAUCCCCGAGGCCCAGGUUCAAGUCCAGCCCUGACGCUCACACUCCCUCUGCAG